rnacentral:lncRNA from 10 species
UUUUUAUCAUUAGGAGAAACAAUAAAACCAUAACUCUCCUUCCAAAACUCACGAAUGAGCCUUAGAGAUGAAAAGAAAACAAUUGCAAAUGAGCGAUGCAAAUAUUUCCAUGACAAAGUUCUUGUUACCAUAGCAAAGUGACCAUAGGAAUAAUGUUUAAGACUAAACAUCUGUGUCUGUCAAAUGUCUCGGUAAGAUUUGCUUCCUCUACUGCAGAUGGAAAGCUGAAUUUUCCAGUGACUGUCCCAUGAAGUUGCCACUUCACAAGGUAUCAGAUGAUGAUGACGAUGAUGAUGAUGAUGAUGAUGAUGAUGAUGAUGAUGAUGAUGAUGGUGAUCAUAUCCAGAGAGAAGCAAAGUGAAUGUGCCCUGGACAACUUUCAGGAAGACAGUUCUGGUCUGUAGCAAUUAACACAUGGUCAUCCUCAGAAAAAGGAGAUACCCAUAACUUAAAAUGCAGGAACCAAGAGAUUUGAGCCUAGACAUUUGGAUGAAAAGCGAUUUCCACCUGGAGAAAGUCACUGCCCUUCUGUGCAGAGUACCAUUGUGUCUUGAAUCCAGCUUGGCCAUAAGGAAAUGGGGCGAGACUUUGUCAUGUAUGUCGCUGAAGUUCAGCUAUGCAAAAAUGUUCACCUAUCCUUGAUCAACCAGUCCAGGAACCAUCAAAGAAGAAAAUGAGAUUCGACUUAGAAGACCUGUUCUUUAUAAACCCCUGCACAGCCCUAAUGAUCAACACCACUUCCAGUGCUCAUAAAUUACUGCUUCAAUAAUUGUUCUGCAAUUCUGCCUAUUCUCAUUGAAUGCUUCGUAUAAUCCCUUUAUUUACUUUGGGCUACGAUUCAUUUUUAUCAGUCAAAUGACUACUAGACUAUCCUGGUUUCUAAUUUGAAAUGUAUCCAAAGAAGAUUCCUGUCUCACCCUCUGCAAUCCACUUGCAUGUCUGACCACACUCGGUGCCUACACAAUCUUCACUUUGUCUAGCCUAAAUUCUUCUAACUGUGGCCUAAGGCCUUGGAAGAAUGAUGCCUCUGUGGGGUAAGAACUGCCUUCGUGGCAUAAGAAAGGCAGACCUGGGUGAUCUGGAAGGGCUGUUGCAAGGGGAUAGGAGUGCUGAGGCCUUUUCCAUUAAGAAUACACAGGACUAUGGAGACUCUUGUUUUACUAGAAACUUCUUCACAGAUACCUUAAAUUAGGAAGAAAAUGCCUUUGGUUCUUGGUUCUACUAUUGGCUUCAAAUUCUUAGGCAUGCCAGACCCUACUGAACAUCUUGACACAUGUCCUUUCUUCUCUGAACUGGCGCACAGGCAUGGUGAGUAACU